CUCAGAUUCAAUAGGCUUACAUGAAGAACUACCCUUCAGCAAGGGCAUCAGAUGUCGAGGAAUUGAUUGGGGAAACCAGGUGGAAAACGCUAUAAGGAACCAAUUGCUAAGAGGGUACAAGAAGCAGUGCCGGACAUGCCAGGGACCCAGAAGCAACGUUCAGUAGUUUAGAAUAAACAAAGUUAACGAUCAA